rnacentral:rRNA from 29 species
UUUGACCUCGGAUCAGGUAGGGAUACCCGCUGAACUUAAGCAUAUCAAUAAGCGGAGGA